rnacentral:rRNA from 1 species
AACGAACGCUGGCGGCAGGCUUAACACAUGCAAGUCGAACGCAUCUUCGGGGUGAGUGGCAGACGGGUGAGUAACGCGUGGGAACGUGCCCUUCAGUUCGGGAUAACCCAGGGAAACUUGGGCGAAUACCGGAUACGUGCGCGAGCAGAAAGAUUUAUCGCUGAAGGAUCGGCCCGCGUCUGAUUAGCUAGUUGGUGGGGUAGUGGCCCACCAAGGCGACGAUCAGUAGCUGGUCUGAGAGGAUGAUCAGCCACAUUGGGACUGAGACACGGCCCAAACUCCUACGGGAGGCAGCAGUGGGGAAUAUUGGACAAUGGGCGCAAGCCUGAUCCAGCCAUGCCGCGUGAGUGAUGAAGGCCUUAGGGUUGUAAAGCUCUUUCGUCCGGGACGAUAAUGACGGUACCGGAAGAAGAAGCCCUGGCUAACUUCGUGCCAGCAGCCGCAGUAA